rnacentral:rRNA from 1 species
UACGUAGGGUGCAAGCGUUGUCCGGAAUUAUUGGGCGUAAAGAGCUCGUAGGCGGUUUGUCGCGUCUGCUGUGAAAACCCGAGGCUCAACCUCGGGCCUGCAGUGGGUACGGGCAGGCUAGAGUUCGGUAGGGGAGACUGGAAUUCCUGGUGUAGCGGUGAAUGCGCAGAUAUCAGGAGGAACACCGAUGGCGAAGGCAGGUCUCUGGGCCGAUACUGACGCUGAGGAGCGAAAGCGUGGGGAGCGAACAGG